rnacentral:rRNA from 1 species
UUCGGCGGCCAUAGCGAGAGGGAAACGCCCGGUCACAUUCCGAACCCGGAAGCUAAGACUCUCAGCGCCGAUGGUACUGCAAGGGGGACCUUGUGGGAGAGUAGGACACCGCCGGACUCAACUU